ensembl:misc_RNA Metazoa_SRP Metazoan signal recognition particle RNA
GCCAGGCAUGGUGGCUCACGCCUGUAAUCCCAGCACUGUGGGAGGCAGAGGCAGGUGGAUCACCUGAGGUCAGGAGUUUUUGAGACCAACCUGGCCAACAUGGUGAAACCCUGUCUCUA